rnacentral:rRNA from 1 species
GACGAACGCUGGCGGCGUGCCUAAUACAUGCAAGUUGAACGCAACAAAGACACCAGAGCUUGCUCUACCGUCUUUGUUGAGUAGCGAACGGGUGAGUAACGCGUGGGUAACCUGCCUUAUAGCGGGGGAUAACUAUUGGAAACGAUAGCUAAUACCGCAUAACAAUAGAGAUUGCAUAAUCUUUAUUUGAAAGUGCCAACUGGUACACUAUGAGAUGGACCCGCGUUGUAUUAGCUAGUUGGUAGUGUAAUGGACUACCAAGGCGAUGAUACAUAGCCGACCUGAGAGGGUGAUCGGCCAACAUUGGGACUGAGACACGGCCCAAAUCCUACGGGAGCAGCAGUAGGGAAUCUUCGGCAAAUGGACGAAAGUCUGACCGAGCAACGCCGCGUGAGUGAAGAAGGUUUUCGGAUCGUAAAACUCUGUUGUUAGAGAAGAAUGUUGAUUAGAGUGGAAAUUAAUCAAAGUGAC